rnacentral:rRNA from 1 species
AGAUUAAGCCAUGCAUGUGUCAGUAUAAAUAACUUGUAUUUAUGAAACUGCGAAUGGCUCAUUACAACAGUUAUAAUUUAUUUGACAAUGACAAUGUUAUAUUUUGAAUAGAAAUAUAAUUUACUACAUGGAUAGCCGUAGUAAUUCUAGAGCUAAUACAUGCGAGAAUUCAUUUUUCUUUUUGUUUUUCGGAAUGGAAAGAAGGGUGGGUUUGAAAAAGAUCCGACUAAAGGUGUUUCAGCAAUGAGACACCCUUUGGGAAGGAUUGUAUUUAUUAGAUCGAAAACCAUUAGGAAUAGUUUAAAUGUUUGAUUCUAUAUGGAUCAAAAACUUAUUUCGGCAUAUGUUUGAAGUCUCGCAAGAGAUGGAUGGCAUGUGUCCAUUGUGAAAGAUAAUGGUGAUUCAUGAUAAAUGUCGAAUUGCCAGGGUGGGUUAAGAGCCCAUCGUCUUGGCAAUGUGUCAUUGAAAUUUCUGACCUAUCAACUGAUGAUGGUAGGAUAGAGGCCUACCAUGGUAUUGACGGGUAACGGAGAAUUAGGGUUCGAUUCCGGAGAGGGAGCCUGAGAGAUGGCUACCACUUCCAAGGAAGGCAGCAGGCGCGCAAAUUACCCAAUCCCAAUCAAUGACGUAUAUGGGGAGGUAGUGACAAAAAAUAACAAAGCGGGGUAUCUAAUGGUAUUCUGCUAUUGGAAUGGUUUCAAUGUAAAUGCUUGAAAGAGAAACAAUUAGAGGGCAAGUCUGGUGCCAGCAGCCGCGGUAAUUCCAGCUCUAAUAGUGUAUACUAAAAUUGCUGCAGUUAAAAAGCUCGUAGUUGGAUUUUGGAGUUUUUAAUUGUUCGAGGGGGCGAGAUGUUUCUCUAUACUUAGUCCUGCUUCAUUUUUCCUUUUUUUAAAUUAGCUUUCGGGUUGAUUUAAAAUUGGGAAGUGAAGUGAUUGGAGGGUAUUAAUGAGGGGAUAUUUGAAAAUCAUGGUAUUGUUUUUAAUCUUGCAUCAAGAUUUAUUUCUUGGUGUUUGAUUGACUCAAUAUCUUUCAUUUAUCUUAUGCUUGCCUUGAAUUUGAAUAACCUCGAAUCCCUUUUUGAGAAGUCCUUGUGGCUUAUCAAAAAAGGGGUAAAUGUUUUCGAAAUUAUUAAUAUAUCACUUAAAUGUUGAUUUAUAUUAAUCGUUUCUCUUUGUCAAAGAAGAGGAAAAUUUCGGAGAGUUUACUUUGAAGAAAAUGGAGUGUUCAAAGCAGGCGUUUUUUUUGUAAUGAAAGAAAUUCGCUACUGAACACAUUAGCAUGGAAUAAUAAAAUAAGACACCUGAUGUGUUUUAAAUUUGAUAAUGAAGAAUAUAAUAAGGAAACUUAUUUAUUUUUUUUGUUAUCAAACACAUUCGAGUCUUAAACAAAAUGAAAGAGGGAUUUAUUUCUUUUUUGUUUUGUUUAUCGAUUUGAGUUUUAUUGGUUUUUGAAACAGGUGUAAUGAUUAAGAGGGACAGUUGGGGGUAUCUGUAUUGCAUAGUCAGAGGUGGAAUUCUUGGAUUUAUGCAAGACAAACAAGUGCGAAAGCAUUUGCCAAGGAUGUUUUCAUUAAUCAAGAACGAAAGUUAGGGGAUCGAAGGCGAUCAGAAACCGCUCUAGUCUUAACUAUAAACGAUGCCAACUAGGGAUUGGAGGGAAUUUAUUUUUUUAAUUCGCUUUUCCAAUAUAUUCUAUCUUUAACGAGAUAGGGUUUGGGAUUUAUCACAAGAAAUUGUGAAGUGAGUUUGCUUUUAAAAUUAUAACAAAAAAAUGAAAGAGGUAACUUUGGUUAUUGUCGUUCUUUUUUUGUUUUUAAGCCCCAUCAGCACCUUUAGAGAAAUCGAUUAAGUCUCUGGGUUCUGGGGGGAGUAUGGUCGCAAGUCUGAAACUUAAAGAAAUUGACGGAAGGGCACCACCAGGUGUGGAGCCUGCGGCUUAAUUUGACUCAACACGGGGAAACUUACCAGGUCCAGACACGGGAAGGAUUGACAGAUUGAUAGUUCUUUCUUGAUUCCGUGGGUGGUGGUGCAUGGUCGUUCUUAGUUGGUGGAGUGAUUUGUCUGGUUAAUUCCGAUAACGAACGAGACCUCAACCUGCUAAAUAGGGUGAUAAUUUUGAAAAGUGUCUGUAAGGUGGCUUUGCGAUCUUUUUCUCAGUAGUUCUCUCUCGGGAGGAUUGUUGAGAAAGUCGGGAAGUUGUCUGAGAUCUUUUAAUGGUUAAUAUUGAAAUAUAUAUUUUGAGAUAGCUCAUUAAGCUUUCAGGAUGAAUGUCUUAGCAGUUUCGGCUGUUGGAACAGUUGUUUUGGAAGUGAGUUAUUGAAAUUAUCAUUAAAAUAUUUCGAUAUGGAUUGUAAUUCUCUUUUAGUUAAUUAAUUUCAUCAUGGCUCUUCACGGGGUUGUGGUGGAAGGCUAAUGGGGCUCUGGAUCUAUAUUCGAACCUACUUAGAGGGACUACCAUGGUUGCACAUGGGGGAAGCAUGAGGCAAUAACAGGUCUGUGAUGCCCUUAGAUGUUCUGGGCCGCACGCGCGCUACACUGAUAAAGUCAACAAGUUGUUUUUGGGUGUGUUAAAUAAAAAAAAUAGUGUUUUUGUUUUCAGGGCUUCUUAAUCGGGGCUUUGAAAAAGGGAUGCUAUUUUUUAACACAUGCAAUUCCCUUAUCCGAAAGGAUUGGGUAAUCUUUUGAAACUUUAUCGUGAUGGGGAUUGAUCUUUGUAAUUUUGGAUCAUGAACGAGGAAUACCUAGUAAGUGCAAUUCAUCAGAUUGCGCUGAUUACGUCCCUGCCCUUUGUACACACCGCCCGUCGCUCCUACCGAUUGAAUGAUCAGAUGAAAUGUCUGGAUUGUUGGAUCUUGUGAGGGUUUCGAUUCUCUAGGAUUUAAUUAGAAGGACAGUAAAUCUUAUUAUUUAGAGGAAGGAGAAGUCGUAAC